ACAGCAGCAGCCGCGGGAAUACAGAGGGUGCGAGCGUUAAUCGGAUUUACUGGGCGUAAAGCGUGCGUAGGCGGCUUCUUAAGUCGGAUGUGAAAUCCCUGAGCUUAACUUAGGAAUUGCAUUCGAUACUGGGAAGCUAGAGUAUGGGAGAGGAUGGUAGAAUUCCAGGUGUAGCGGUGAAAUGCGUAGAGAUCUGGAGGAAUACCGAUGGCGAAGGCAGCCAUCUGGCCUAAUACUGACGCUGAGGUACGAAAGCAUGGGGAGCAAACAGGAUUAGAGACCCGCGUAGUCCCUGUCUCUUAUAA
rnacentral:rRNA from 1 species